GUCACGCCCCGGACCCGGAUCCGUGACACGGCCGUGCUAUUGCCGACUACCGCCCACAAUAGCACGCAGCCUCAUACCUGGGUAACAGGGUAGUCAAACCAACCGAAUCUUUUCAUAUGAAAGCAUUCUUAGUACAACAUGCUGGUCAGUACCCAAAUACAGAGCUUCUAUGUAGUUUAUGUACACAAAAGUAUACUUGCUUUACCCCAAAAGAAAGAAGCCCUGAUACCAAAUUAACGUGUCUCUGGCAGCUAUCAGUGGUAAGGAUCUGAAAGAAAAAGUAAAUGAACGGAUAUGAGCUACACGGC
rnacentral:lncRNA from 1 species